rnacentral:rRNA from 1 species
GACGAACGCUGGCGGCGUGCUUAACACAUGCAAGUCGAGCGGUAAGGCCCUUUCGGGGGUACACGAGCGGCGAACGGGUGAGUAACACGUGGGUGACCUGCCCUCAGCUCUGGGAUAAGCCUGGGAAACCGGGUCUAAUACUGGAUAUGACUCCAUGACGCAUGUUGUGGGGUGGAAAGCCUUGUGCGGCUGAGGAUGGGCCCGCGGCCUAUCAGCUUGUUGGUGGGGUGANGGCCUACCAAGGCGACGACGGGUAGCCGGCCUGAGAGGGCGACCGGCCACACUGGGACUGAGACACGGCCCCAGACUCCUACGGGAGGCAGCAGUGGGGAAUCUUGCGCAAUGGGCGAAAGCCUGACGCAGCGACGCCGCGUGAGGGAUGACGGCCUCG